CCUACGGGAGGCAGCAGUAGGGAAUCUUCCGCAAUGGACGAAAGUCUGACGGAGCAACGCCGCGUGAACGAUGAAGGCCUUCGGGUCGUAAAGUUCUGUUGUUAGGGAAGAACAAGUGCUAGUUAAAUAAGCUGGCACCUUGACGGUACCUAACCAGAAAGCCACGGCUAACUACGUGCCGGCAGCCGCGGUAAUACGUAGGUGGCAAGCGUUGUCCGGAAUUAUUGGGCGUAAAGCGCGCGCAGGCGGUUUCUUAAGUCUGAUGUGAAAGCCCCCGGCUCAACCGGGGAGGGUCGAUUGGAAGCUGGGAAACUUGAGUGCAGAAGAGGAAAGUGGAAUUCCAAGUGUAGCGGUGAAAUGCGUAGAGAUUUGGAGGAACACCAGUGGCGAAGGCGACUUUCUGGUCUGUAACUGACGCUGAGGCGCGAAAGCGUGGGGAGCAAACAGGAUUAGAUACCCUGGUAGUCCACGCUGUAAACGAUGAGUGCUAAGUGUUAGAGGGUUUCCGCCCUUUAGUGCUGAAGUUAACGCAUUAAGCACUCCGCCGUGGGGAGUACGGUCGCGAAGACUGAAACGUUAAAGGAAUUGACGGNUGAGAGUGCGAGGCGACGACGAGGGAGGAGG
rnacentral:rRNA from 1 species